rnacentral:rRNA from 1 species
UACGUAGGGUGCGAGCGUUGUCCGGAAUUAUUGGGCGUAAAGAGCUUGUAGGCGGUUUGUCGCGUCUGCCGUGAAAGCCCAGGGCUUAACCCUGGGUCUGCGGUGGGUACGGGCAGACUAGAGUGUGGUAGGGGAGACUGGAAUUCCUGGUGUAGCGGUGAAAUGCGCAGAUAUCAGGAGGAACACCGAUGGCGCAAGCGGCUGACUGGCCGAGACCUGACGCUGAGACGCGACGGCGUGGGGAGCAAACCGG